rnacentral:rRNA from 1 species
AACGAACGCUGGCGGCAUGCCUAACACAUGCAAGUCGAACGAGACCUUCGGGUCUAGUGGCGCACGGGUGCGUAACGCGUGGGAACCUGCCCUUAGGUUCGGAAUAACUCCCCGAAAGGGGUGCUAAUACCGGAUAAUGUCUUCGGACCAAAGAUUUAUCGCCUUUGGAUGGGCCCGCGUUGGAUUAGCUAGUUGGUAGGGUAAAAGCCUACCAAGGCGACGAUCCAUAGCUGGUCUGAGAGGAUGAUCAGCCACACUGGGACUGAGACACGGCCCAGACUCCUACGGGAGGCAGCAGUGGGGAAUAUGGGACAAUGGGCGAAAGCCUGAUCCAGCAAUGCCGCGUGAGUGAUGAAGGCCUUAGGGUUGUAAAGCUCUUUUACCCGGGAUGAUAAUGACAGUACCGGGAGAAUAAGCUCCGGCUAACUCCGU